rnacentral:misc_RNA from 1 species
GUGAAUCAUCGAAUUUUUGAACGCAAAUUGCACUCUCUGGUAUUCCGGAGAGUAUGCCUGUUUGAGGGUCAGUUUAAAUAAAAAUCGGGGUGUUUUCUGCCUUUCUUGGUGACUCAGCGGAUGUGGUUCGUCUUGCCUUCGGUUAAGUGACCUAAAAUUUUUCAUGAUGUUCGCGAACGUAUGUAAAUGAUUUUACGUACGUUUGCGAGAUCGAAUACUAGGUGCGGUCAUCCUCAU